CGGCCCUGGGCGCAGCCGGCACGCACCUCGGUCCUGGCCGGCGUGCGUGCUGCCACUCACCUUCCCCCGCGCCUGCAUCCGGGCUUCGAGCUUCGCCGCCGAGAUGCUCUCUGGGCAUCUGGGAGAUGAAAAGGAUACUCCAAAGCACUCGUGGGUUUCUCCGGUUCUUCAUAUAAGGCCACCAGCACUGCAAAUCACAGAGCAAAACCAGCAACAAGUCAAAUCGGAACUGUGAGACUGAAAUACUUUGUAACUCAGUAAAUGUUAUGCAAUGCUA